rnacentral:rRNA from 1 species
AAGCAUAUCAAUAAGCGGAGGAA